GUAGUAUAUAAAUUAUUAAACAGUAAAACAUUAACAUUUAAGAAGUAAAGAUACAUUGAGCAGUACUGGAGUGCUUUCGGGUAAAGUACAUUUUAAAGGUGCAAUAACACAACAGAUAAGUAGCACUAACAGCAGCUUAAAUGUAUUUGGAUCAUCUCUCGGUAGCAGAUCCCUUGUGAAAGGUGCUACACGACCGCUGUGGUAUAAAAAUUAAAUUUUCUAUGUGAUCCUGCAAAUUUCUGCCUGACAACCUUGCACUACGUGCCUGUGAUUUAAGAGAAAAAAUAUUCUGAGAAAUGUGGACGCUGCCUUUCCGUGCUUAACGGGCAGAAGGUCCAAAACUUAACAUGAAGAGGUCGGUACAUCUUCUUAGAUGUAAACCUUCCAUCUUCUUAAAAGAAUUCAUCACAAAAGCAACCUUGGAUGUUGCAGGGUUUUAGUGACCCAAACUCACCUUAAGAGACAGUAAGUAGCCGUGCACCGCAAUU